rnacentral:tRNA from 1 species
GGGGGAUUGGCGGAGUGGCCUAACGCACCCGACUCAGAAUCGGGCAACCCUCCGUGGUUCGUGGGUUCGAAUCCCACAUCCCCCU